UAAAGUGGCGUACGGGUGAGUAACACGUGGAUCAUCUACCUUUUAGUGGGGAAUACCGUUGGGAAACCGACGACAAUACCGCAUAAGCCCGAGAGGGGAAAGCAGCAAUGCGCUGAAAGAGGAGUCCGCGGCUGAUUAGCUAGUUGGUAGGGUAAUGGCCUACCAAGGCAUCGAUCAGUAGCCGGCCUGAGAGGGCACACGGCCACACUGGCACUGAAACACGGCCCAG
rnacentral:rRNA from 1 species